ensembl:lncRNA
CUGAAGGUUAAAGAAUGACAGUGCUUAGCAGUCUGCUCUGAAAAAUACUGUAAUCUUUGAUCCAGCAUUCAGCAUUCAGCUAUAGUGUUGAAGCCAAUGUGAGGACCCCUGUAUAUGCUGAGCUCUACGGAAAAUUAAGCAAAAUAGAGAGGUACAGCAUUUAGAAAUGCUAGCAGUGGGGUAAAGAAAAGAUCAUGGGAUUUGGGAUUGCACAGAGUCCAGUGGUGCACUGAUUUUGCUGAUUAAACUGAUAAAUAAUGAACUCAAAAUGUUUUAGGCAGCUGUUAGUGUCAGAGAUCAGAUUAAUCUUCAGCAUGAAAGAGAGAAGAUAUUCAAGUUUACAGCACUCCGGAGCAGUGAUAUCCCUGUAGAAGACAUGAAAAACUCUUCUCUAUGGCUCCUGGAUGCUUACAUAACGUUCAAUUAUGCAUAAUAUCAACACUCGUGUUUCAAGACUUUUGGGAAGACUAAUAACAAGGAAAAGAGGGGGAAGAGGGCAGGGAGGGAAGAAAGAAGAGAUUUCCCAUAGAAAUAAAUUGAUUGCAUUGUACUGAGCAUUGGAGGUGGAUCCUACACAUGAUCCUUUUCCCAGCUCCUCUGAUGGCUCCAUGUGCAUUUUUCAGAUUGCCAUUUGACUUUUUUUUGUCUUUUAUUAUCCUGACUGUAAAAGAGUAAAGGAAUUACUUGUUCAUACAAGCCGGAUGAUAGUUAUCUAAGUUUUAGUCACAUGAACAGAAUUACACUAUUUUAUUAUCAGUUGAUUGAGCUUUCAAAGCUGAGUAGUAGUUUCAGUGGUGUUAUUCAAAGUAUUUUAUAAUAACAGUCUAUAAUAAUCUAUUAGACAAGUAUUAGUCACAUGUAAGCACUAUUUCGGAAUUUUCAUUUACUUUGUACCUUAUUAAGAAUGAAUCAAUAUCUUUUUGGGGCUGCUUUGUCUGUUCACCUGUUGAGUAAAAUCAAAUAUCACUUGUGUAAAUAAGACUUCAAAGCAGAUUUUCAGGUAAAAGAAACUGCUUUUAGGAAUCAUGAGCAAUUUAACCAAGAACUCUGAAGCAUGAGAAUAUUACAAGAAGAUACCGAAAACAGAAAUAUAAGUGCAAUUCACAUAUACUGUAAUUAUGGAGCUUUUUUGCUGUGUUUGUUUUGAAUCAUGUGGAUGAGAGAUGAAUAGGAAUUUUGCCACUUUCUAUCUGUUUAAAUCUUGCCCAAAUCAGUGCCUGGGAUCUUGAAGCUCACUUGCUUGUAGAAAAUUAGAACAAUUAUUCAGAAAAUUAAAGUUGAACUUUGAAUGAGGAAAACUUCAACACAGAGAUGAAGUAUGACAUUAUUAAGCUUACUAGUGAAAUUCAUUGAAAUACUCUUCAACAGAUUUGGGGAUUUUUUGUUUGUUUUUGUUUUUUGUUUUUACUUCUUUACAUUAUAUAAAAAUAAAUUUGUUUAACACUCAGCCUUUUCUAAUUCCAGUCUUUUAAUGUUAGUCAGGUUAGGAGGAUAACGUAUAAUAUUCUGUACUUCUACUGUCCAUAUUGUACUUUAAGAAGCUUAACAUUUGUUUCCUAUAAGCACCUUUUCCAUGUUAAUUUUCAGUUUCAAAUUCACUAAUGAAAAUGCACAAAUUUAUAUAAUUUCUGACUCAGAAAUGUCUAUAUUCUCCUUUAUACUCACUAACGUUAAUAACUAUGAGACAUGCAUGCAUGAGAAAAAGAAAAAAAAGAAGGCUGGAAGGCACUUUUUCUAUUAGAUAUCACUGUGACACAUGAAACAGAUGAAAAGUUGAAUUGAUUAGAGGAUACAUAAAUGUUUUUAAAUAUGAUUUUGUAAAUAAAGUAGUAUUUUAAUUUUGUAAAAAUUAUCAUUGAACUCCUAUUGAACUUUUAUCUGAAUAGUUCUAUACCUCUUUGAAAAUCUCUUUGAAACUUUGUGUGGUGCAUCUCAGAUCUAAAAUUCUACCUUCCUUUCAUGACUAUCUGUACAUCAAAGGGAAGGAGAAAUGGUAUCAUCAUUUUAUUCUGCUACUAUGAAGGACAAAAAUUUGUCUGAUGGUAGAACAGUAGGAAGAAAAGUGACAGUGACACCUCAGGUUGAAAAAGGGAAAGCUACAAGAAAGUGUAUUCAUGGUUUCAGCUUUGACUCCACUGUGACAUAAUUGCCAUGAAUAUCUUUCAUAACAUACACUAGAGAAAAGGUAUUAAAGCGGUAUACAAAGACCUGUGUAGAAAUGGAAUUUGCAGAUUCUCUUAACUUCAUCAAACAAAAUCAAUUUCCAUGGGACAUUUCAAAGGCACUUCUCAAUGAAGGUCAACUUUCUGCUUUCUUUUCUGUUUUGGCACAUAAUUCAUUUAAAACCUGGAAUGAGAAGAAAGCAAAACUCAAUAGCAUGUACUUACAGGAUUUCAUCUUCUAUAACUAUAAGUAAUUUUAAGCAAGAAAUACAGAAGCUGAGAUCAUUGUUAGAAAACACUAAAAAUAAAGAAAUUAAUAAAGUAAAAGAAAAAAUAGAAAGGCUUUGGAAUUCUGUGUCUGUCAGAUGAGUUCUAUGAAUGGAACUUGAAAAAUACAUAGAGUAUUUAUAUGAUGUAGUGAUAUUCAGUAUAUUUUUACUCUUUUUUUUUUUUUUUUUAAAUAUGAUGUCUACCUUUCCUGACCCAAAAGGUGGUGGGAUUUAAAAUUUUGGUAAAAUUACUGAAGUUCUAAUAAAAAAUUACUCAACUCUGCUCAUGUUUAAUUUCAGACUUGCAAUAUCUUUGCUGUUUACACAAUUUUUACUCUUGCCAACAUGAAGUCAAUACGAUCUUGUUAAAGUGGCGUGUCAAUGGUUUGUGGGCUGGUUUGGCCUGGUUCCAUGACUAGCGGGGUGGAGGGACCUGCGGAUCCACGCCCCGGAAAGGACUUAGGUAAAAAAGGGAAAAAAGGGUAGAGAGAUGGGCCUAAAAAAAAAAAAAAAAAGCAAAACAGUGGCAAUGAUGAGAAACUGAUGAGAAACAAACUAUUUUACUAAGUCAGAUAUCAGAAUGCAAGAUAACACUCUAUAAUACAAUAUAAUUAGAAUUGGAACUAAUAAAUCAAAUAUAAUGAGAGAGAGUGUCCAAAAGCCGAAGACCUUACUACAUUGCUGUGACAAGAUGGCACCCGCGACAGAGAUGGUUGGGAAAAAAAAGGAUGUCAGGUGACCUACCAAGGCCUUUUAUCUGUUCCCCCUGAGCAGAAAUGAUAACAUAACAGUGAACACUCCUCCGAGGAAUGUAGUAGUUCUUCUCUUCCGGGACAGGUACCUGGACCUGGAGCAUUAACUCUUUAAUUCCCGGUGCACUACAUGAUGCUAUAAUGUGGAAUACUGAUAACCAAAAAUCUUAAAACCAUGACAUGGCAAUAAGCUGAAAAAUAAUACCAACUGUAUUAAUGGAAACACUACAACUUAUUUUUCUUUUCAAGGCUUGUUUUCAAAAUUUUAGAAUUCUUUACAUGGAUUUGUAUUUGCUUGUGUUGGACAUGGUGUGAUGGGACUUCAGCAUUUAUCACCAGCUACUGAUAAGCAUGUUCUGAAUUUUGGCAAAUUCCUCUAAACCUAGAUACUUUGGCAUUUUGCAUCAAUUGUAUUCUUCAUUUUGAAAGGUAUCUGUGAUAGUCAUGCAACUGUUACUCAGUUUGCUUACCCCACACGGAUUGUAUAGCUAAUAUUCAAACAACUUCUUAACUUGCAUUUGACUUGCAUGGUAUGUAAGAGCAUCUUUUUUGAGCAGAUUGGCUUGUAUUUGUAGGUAGCACUUUGACACAAUAUUUUUGAAU